GACGAACGCUGGCGGCGUGCUUAACACAUGCAAGUCGAACGGAAAGGCCCUGCUUUUGUGGGGUGCUCGAGUGGCGAACGGGUGAGUAACACGUGAGUAACCUGCCCUUGACUUUGGGAUAACUUCAGGAAACUGGGGCUAAUACCGGAUAGGAGCUCCUGCUGCAUGGUGGGGGUUGGAAAGUUUCGGCGGUUGGGGAUGGACUCGCGGCUUAUCAGCUUGUUGGUGGGGUAGUGGCUUACCAAGGUUUUGACGGGUAGCCGGCCUGAGAGGGUGACCGGCCACAUUGGGACUGAGAUACGGCCCAGACUCCUACGGGAGGCAGCAGUGGGGAAUAUUGCACAAUGGGCGGAAGCCUGAUGCAGCAACGCCGCGUGCGGGAUGACGGCCUUCGGGUUGUAAACCGCUUUCGCCUGUGACGAAGCGUGAGUGGCGGUAAUGGGUAAAGAAGCACCGGCUAACUACGUG
rnacentral:rRNA from 1 species